UCAACUUUAAUAAUGCGGCGAUGUAUUGUCCACAUAGUAAUCCUCAUCAUCUUCAUCAUUGUUGGGCCCCUCAGUCACAUCUCUGUAUCGACCAUAUACUCUAUGUGAAAUAGGUAGAGACUGGGGAGGUUGAGGAGAGCGUACUACAUCACCGGGACAAGGGAGAAUCCCCCUGAAGCAAGUAAUGCAUUGAAUUGGGCCUUCAUUCCUGCAUAUUGUAUAUCUCUUUGUUUUUUCCUAGUAUGUGAGGCCUUAGCUUCUUGAGAUAGCUCAGCUAUUAGAAUCUACCUAGGCCUCUUAUUUUUUUCACGAGCUUUUGAUAGCAAGCCAACAAGCAUGUGCCCAAUUUUUAACUUGAAGUUUGUUUUAAUCUGGGCUUCAUAUUCGGGAUGCCAAAACACUUUCUCUGUAAUGACAAGAUAAACUAAGAUAAAUUAAUUUGCUAAUACAGCAAAAUAAAGAAAUGCAGAGAGAAAAUAAAGAUAUAACAGAAUUGUAUUUACUUCACCCCUAGAUAAUUGAAUGGUAGAGCAACUUAUAUCCAACAGUAACUUUAUGCCUCCUCUAGUGCGUUACAAGACCAUGGGACACCUAUUAUCUCACUUUUCCUAUGAAACAGUCCCCAUGGAGAGGCAACAACCUAGAACUCCAGACUAUCUUUACCUAAUAAUCUAAUAUCAUUUACAACUCCAAAUGCCGUUAAGUGGGAAGAAACAUAUUUACAUGAACUAGCAACUAGUUCUAGCUGCAACAAAGUGCGUGUGUCUAAAUAUUUCCUGUAAUCUGCGGAAUAGCAACAUAUCUAGUUAACUGCAGGAUCUCUACAUUGUACAAAAAUCUGUCAUCAUCCAGCAAAAACAUACGGAUCCAAAUACUCUCUGAUCUUGCAACUAUUUCAUUGCUAAGUUUUUCCAAGUUUAUACAGGGCUAUGUCAGCUAAUAGGUGUUGCUACAGGUGUAUAUAAUAUGAAAAUGCUUAUCAAUUCAUAUUUUGAUUACAAGACUUGUAUGUGUGCAGUGUGCUAGCUAUCAAAAUGUAAAAGUACAAGCAAGAUAAGAGAAUUUCAAGUAGCAAUCUUGUAUAAUCUGUCUACGAAAAAAAUAGAUGAAACACAAAUCAUAUACAACAAAGCUCGAUUCUGCAUUGUGCAAGCACGAUGUUAGGUUAAGGCAUUCUCAAUGCAUCUGGCAAUAGCUUUCAGAAACCUUAAGCAUUCUGAAUAGCUACAGAGUGCAUUAGAAUGUUUUGCAAACCUUAUUCCAUUUUUUGUCAGAUAUACUCACCACACAAUAGUUAAGCUAGUGAACCUAUUAACAUGUCAUGCGACUAAGACUUCUGGUGGAAAAAAAAACCUAUUGUCACUUAAGAAAACCUCCUAAUGGAAUUUGAAAGCCGUGUGCCAGUUUAGAGAGCACGCAUAUUAGAAUGAAUGAGAGGCUUACUGUUAAGAUUGCCCUUUUGGUUGGAUGAAAAUAGUUGAAAAUAGUAUUCAUAGAAAGGCAACUUUGUAACAAGUGACAAAGCUAGGACAAUAAAAUUCUUUGGAUUUUGAAAUACUGGUAAAUAAAAUAGUUGUUCAAAGAGUAUAUCAAGUGAAAUAACUAUUUUUCAUUCACAGAUCUUCAACUUCUAUUUUUCAAAGUGAAAAUCAUGUAUAACUAUUACUUCAACUUCAAAUACUCAUUUUUUCAGUUCUAACCAAGUAUUUAAAGAAUUUGGUGGGUCAGUCCUUUUUGACUGGGAGGGGAAUAUGGCAAUAAGUAGGGAAAAACAAGUCAAAAAUGGAUCUUACAUGGCUCGACUUUACAAGUGAGAGAGAAGGACUACAUAUCUCUUGGUGAUGUUGCUUUUCUGCCAGGGAACUUAUUACCUAUUUGAUGGUUUAAUAGGGUAACAAUAGUGCAAGUUUCAUGAAAAAAUGCCGCUAAGGAUAAUGUAGCACACUUAAUACAAAAGUACAAUUUCCAAACAGUCAUUUCUUGAAGAAACAACACUGAAAAGGGCGAGGGUUACCAAGCUUCAAAAAAAUCCUUCAAUUGGUAACAAUGUCGCAAAUCAAGUGACCUAAACCAUACAAAUAUUCAUGAAAGUUGUAGUGUUUCACCACAAAUUGAAGUACUAAAAAUUUGAUGAAUUCUUCAAGUGAAUCAAAUGUCAAUUCAAUGAGCAACCAAGUAGUAUAUAAUCAGUAAUAUCAAAUUCCUUAAUAAUUCUGUGUUCAUCCUGCCCAUUCUCUUAUGACAACAACAUACCAGUGUAGUCUCACAAAGUGGGGUCGAGGAUAGUAGAGUGCACGCAGACUUUACACCUACUGCAGAGGUAGAGGGUUGUUUCCAAUAGACCCCCAGCUCAAGGAAAAAUAGAUUAGGAAAAGAAUAGACAGAAACAAAAUACCUACAAUUAAUGUAAAUCUCUGAAUAUUCUAUAAUUGAAGUCUAAAUAUAUUAUACCAUAUCUAGAAUAUCUCUACAGUAUUUACCAUAUCUCAGAUUUUCUUAUUAUUUUUGUUUCUUUAUUUCAUUUACACUCCUAUACAAACUAACCAAUAGAAUAAUUUGAUUUCCACCAAGCUAAAGCUUCAAUUACUUCCUCUCCAAUCCACCUUUAGUUAAGUUACAUCACUAGAUUUCAAUACAAAUUUAUAUAUUCGGGUUUGAUAUAAGAAGUUAUACAAGUUUUACCCAAGAAGAUGAACUAUUUCUAAGGGUUGAUACACACCCAGUGAGUGCGAUGUGGCACCCAAGGCGUUGAAGUUCACCGCUAUGGUAACUGUCCCGCAGUGAAGAAUAUUAGAGAUUCAUGAGAUUUUUUUCAAAGUAGGGGACGGUACCAGUCACCAUGAUGCAAUUCUAAACACGGUAAGGUACACCACGAUGGACACUGUGCAGAUGGCACUGCAGCGUGCUUCCCAAGUCACGAUGGCGACUGCAAGUCCAAAACUACAAAUAUGAAUUUCAGAUCAAGCUCUUAUGUUGGUUCUUUUUCCUUAUCCCAUUCUUUCAUUUAAUUUUAGGCAUAAAAUAUUUAGAGGUUGACCUUAUAGAGGAUUAACAAAAUAUGUGAAAGUGUACAGAAUAUCAUCGCAAGACACAGCCAUGGGAUGAGUAUCAGAUUCAAGGCUCACCUACUACCAAUAGUUUGACGACCAAUGCAAGAAUGAUCUAUAAAAACCACUAACAAUUACGUACUAAACCUCAAACCAUUCUGAAAUAAGGCAACAAAAUCCCAAACUAUUCAUUAACAUUUUGGGGAAAAUAAAGAAAACCCAGGACAUCCAUAGAUUCAAAUACCAUUCUAUACAUAAAAAAGAAAAAAAUCAAAACAACCUUAACAUAAAAAAGAAAAAAAUCAAAACAACCUUACUUGAAAUGGAGAAUCCGCAAAUCAUUUACGAUUUGGAGGAGAG
rnacentral:lncRNA from 1 species